rnacentral:rRNA from 1 species
GACGAACGCUGGCGGCGUGCUUAACACAUGCAAGUCGAACGGAAAGGCCCCCUUGUGGGGUACUCGAGUGGCGAACGGGUGAGUAACACGUGAGUAACCUACCCUUGACUUUGGGAUAACUUCAGGAAACUGGGGCUAAUACCGGAUAGGAGCUCCUGCUGCAUGGUGGGGUUUGGAAAGUUUCGGCGGUUGGGGAUGGACUCGCGGCUUAUCAGCUUGUUGGUGGGGUAGUGGCUCACCAAGGCUUUGACGGGUAGCCGGCCUGAGAGGGUGACCGGCCACAUUGGGACUGAGAUACGGCCCAGACUCCUACGGGAGGCAGCAGUGGGGAAUAUUGCACAAUGGGCGGAAGCCUGAUGCAGCAACGCCGCGUGCGGGAUGACGGCCUUCGGGUUGUAAACCGCUUUCGCCUGUGACGAAGCGUGAGUGACGGUAAUGGGUAAAGAAGCACCGGCUAACUACGUG